GUCAACGCUAUCUUCUUAAUGACUGACCGCUGUCCUGUUCCUUAUUCUGGGUGACCGCCUCGGGCAAAAACCACCAAAGUCCAGAGGCUGAACUGUGUGUGGAAGACAACAGAAUAUCAUGAAGAUUGGAGAGUGGUAUGGCUUCUGGAUGGUACAUACAGUAAGGGGACAGUAUAUUUGGGAGUCAGAGGCUCAGGCCUCGAACAUUCAGAGACCUCAUUACUCAUCCAAGAACACUAAAG